AGUGAACGCUGGCGGUAGGCCUAACACAUGCAAGUCGAACGGCAGCACAGUAAGAGCUUGCUCUUACGGGUGGCGAGUGGCGGACGGGUGAGGAAUACAUCGGACUCUACUUUUUCGUGGGGGAUAACGUAGGGAAACUUACGAUAAUACCGCAUCCGACCUACGGGUGAAAGCAGUGGAUCUUCGGACCUUGCGCGAUUGAAUGAGCCGCUGUCGGAUUAGCUAGUUGGCGGGGUAAAGACCCACCCAGGCGACGAUACGUAGCUGGUCUGAGAGGAUGAUCAGCCACACUGGAACUGAGACACGGUCCAGACUCCUACGGGAGGCAGCAGUGGGGAAUAUGGGACAAUGGGCGCAAGCCUUAUCCAGCCAUACCGCGUGGGUGAAGAAGGCCUUCGGGUUGUAAAGCCCUUUUGUUGGGAAAGAAAAGCAGCAGGUUAAUACCCCGCUGUUCCGACGGUACCCAAAGAAGAAGCACCGGCUAACUUCGUG
rnacentral:rRNA from 1 species